rnacentral:rRNA from 1 species
AUUGAACGCUGGCGGCAGGCCUAACACAUGCAAGUCGAGCGGCAGCGGAAGGAAGCUUGCUUUCUUGCCGGCGAGCGGCGGACGGGUGAGUAAGGUAUGGGGAUCUGGCCGAAGGCGGGGGAUAACCACUGGAAACGGUGGCUAAUACCGCAUAAUCUCUAAGGAGCAAAGUGGGGACCGUUCAGGCCUCACACCUUCGGAUGAACCCAUAUGAGAUCAGCUAGUAGGUGGGGUAAUGGCUCACCUAGGCGACGAUCUCUAGCUGGUCUGAGAGGAUGAUCAGCCACACUGGGACUGAGACACGGCCCAGACUCCUACGGGAGGCAGCAGUGGGGAAUAUUGCACAAUGGGCGCAAGCCUGAUGCAGCCAUGCCGCGUGUAUGAAGAAGGCCUUCGGGUUGUAAAGUACUUUCAGUCGUGAGGAAGGUGUUAAGGUUAAUAACCUUAGCAAUUGACGUUAGCGACAGAAGAAGCACCGGCUAACUCCGUGCCAGCCGCCGCGGUAA